UGUCAAUGCGAGAGGGCAAGAGUCUCAGUGCUGUAUUUUGUAGCAAAGCUAUGGCACAUAAUUAGACUUUCACCAUUGUUGUAUUGCGCAUGGCUAAAGUUUUUGUCGCAGUUUGCAUUCGGGUUAUUACGCCUUUACUCCAUGAGCAUGUUGCUUUGGUAUUUCUUAAUUAAGAACAGUUUUCUGACUCCAUCCUCCUCCGAGGAAGGAAAAGAGUUUUUGGGUGGUAUACAGCUUGGUGAAAAUAUUAUCACUGUUAUUAAGGUGUGUUUCAGGCUUCAAGCCUUUCGGGAUUGCUUUCGCAUCAAAACCACCCGCCACCCGCGUCUUAGUCUCCAGUUAUUCCUGAUUGCUACUUGCAUCUGCACCGUGACAACGUUUCAUGCCCAUCUCAACAUUUUAACACUUGAUUUAUAUACAUACACAUAUAAUACAAAAUGCCAUUAAACUCACUGCUAGUAACGGAUUAUGGUGUUACGCCGGCGAAAAAGAUCAGUUAAUUUUUCAUUUUUUGGGCUUCGGAAACCCAGAGCUGCUUCCUUGUAUAUUGAUCACACAGAUUACAGAGAUGACAUUAAGUUCGACAAAAAUACAGUGAACGCACAAUCUGGGACCACUACUCUUAGGGACUAAAGGAGGGAGGAAAGAAAGAAA